CGGAUCACAAUCAAAGACCUCCUGGGGACCUUCAAUGCAUCCCUUGACAAAUUUGUGCCUGGCCUGCUGAAACUGUACCGGUCUAAGAAGGGAGUUCUUUGUGAGGAGAUGGAAGACCUCCUGGAUAAACUUGAUGAACAGACAUCCAACAUUGUGUCCAACUUGCACUGAGAGGCCUGCCCAUUUUCCUCAAGAGAAGAUGCAACAGAGGUUUUCCUGAAGUGCUUAGACACUGACAUUUUGGAACCAGUGUUGAACAGUGCAUCAGUUGCCAUCCUCACCAUCCUACAAG